rnacentral:tRNA from 1 species
GCGGUGGUCCAGUUUGGUCUAAGAUCCCGGUCUCGGGAGCCGGAGAUCGCGGGUUCAAAAUAGUUUUACCUAUGAAAUUCCCGCCCGCCCCA